UACGGAGGAUCCAAGCGUUAUCCGGAAUCAUUGGGUUUAAAGGGUCCGUAGGCGGUUUUGUAAGUCAGUGGUGAAAUCCGGCAGCUCAACUGUCGCACUGCCAUUGAUACUGCAGGACUUGAAUUAUUGUGAAGUAACUAGAAUAUGUAGUGUAGCGGUGAAAUGCUUAGAUAUUACAUGGAAUACCCAUUGCGAAGGCAGGUUACUAACAAUACAUUGACGCUGAUGGACGAAAGCGUGGGGAGCGAACAGG
rnacentral:rRNA from 1 species